rnacentral:rRNA from 1 species
GGCGUUUUGUGCACCAUCGAGCUGCUCAGCCACUUUUUUUUGAUAAAAAAAAGAGAGGUGUAUUCAGUGGAUGAAGAUGCUGCCGUCAUAUUCUAUCAUUUUUUUUUAGUGGGUCGAGAAUAAGAUUUUCCCUACGGAUGGAUUCUAUGACGGAGGACUGACGCGAUACGACCCGUCUUGAAACACGGACCAAGGAGUUUAAUGUACCUGCGAGUCAAAGGGUGGAAAAACCCCAGGGCGUAGUGAAAGCGACAUAGAACUGUAACAGUUUGGUUGCGGCGUAGAAUCGUUGAUUCGAUGCCUGACAGAGAGCAGGUCCGUUGAUACCCGAAAGAUGGUGAUCUAUGCCGGGGCAGGGCGAAGCCGGAGGAAACUCCGGUGGAGGCUCGCAGCGGUGUUGACGUGCAAAUCGCUCGUCUGACCCUGGUAUAGGGGCGCAAGACUCAUCGAACCAUCUAGUAGCUGGUUCCCCUCGAAGUUUCUCUCAGGAUAGCAGGCCGAGCUAAGAAAGUUGCAAUGUGAGGUAAAGCCAAUGAUUAGCGUAUUUUGGGGCGAUAUUUGUUCUCGGACGAUUCUCAAACUUUAAAUACGCAUGAACUCUGCUGCUUGUUAGAGCAGAGAUGGAUGAACCUCGGCCUUGUGGGCUCGUUUUGGUAAGCAGAACUGGCGAUACGGGAUGAACCGUAAGUGUGGCUAAGGCGCCCAAUUAUUCGCUAAUAGAACCCAAGAAAGGUGUUGUUUCAUAUAGACAGCAGGACGGUGGCCAUGGAAGUUGGAAUCCGCUAAGGAGUGUGUAACAACUCACCUGCCGAAUGAAGUAGCCCUGAAAAUGGAUGGCGCUUAAGCGAAUAGCCGACACCACACCGUUUGAAAUAUAUCCUAAUCCUUAAACUACUNNNNNNNNNNNNNNNNNNNNNNNNNNNNNNNNNNNNNNNNNNNNNNNNNNUUCAAAUGAGUAGAGGGGCGUAACGGUUGCUGAGAAGCUAAUGUUUAAACAUAUGUGGAGCGGCCGCUAGUGCAGAUCUUGGUGAUAGUAGCAAAUAUUCAAAAGAGAUCCUUGAAGGGCGAAGCGGGGAAGGGUUCCAUGUCAACAUUGAUUGAGCAUGGGUGAGUCGUUCCUAAGCCACGCGUUAAUUGCAGCGCAUCGGCGAAAGGGAGACAGGUUGAAAUUUCCUGUACACGGAUGUGGAGCGCGGUGACGCAUUACUUGGGGUGGUGACGUCGGGAAUGGCACUGGGCAGAGUUCUCUUCUCUGUUUGACGUAAGAGGCGUUCUGUGGAAUCCGAUUAUCGGGAGAAACAGACGCGUCAAGGCAAAGCGCCGCGGAUCAGGCGGCGUCCAGUUUCCAUUUUCGGCCCUUGAAAAGCCACUUGCUGGGUAGCAUUAUAUAUAG